rnacentral:tRNA from 2 species
AUCUUUCUAGUAUAAUGUUAGUAUAAGUGACUUCCAAUCACCCGGCCCCGGUUAAACCCCGGGGAAAGAUA